GUGCCUAAUACAUGCAAGUCGAGCGAAUGAUUAGAGAAGCUUGCUUCUCUCUGAUUAGCGGCGGACGGGUGAGUAACACGUGGGUAACCUACCCUAUAGACUGGGAUAACUUCGGGAAACCGGAGCUAAUACCGGAUAAUACUUUUGAACUCAUGUCGAAAGUUGAAAGAUGGUUUCGGCUAUCACUAUAGGAUGGACCCGCGGCGCAUUAGCUAGUUGGUGAGGUAACGGCUCACCAAGGCAACGAUGCGUAGCCGACCUGAGAGGGUGAUCGGCCACACUGGGACUGAGACACGGCCCAGACUCCUACGGGAGGCAGCAGUAGGGAAUCUUCCACAAUGGACGAAAGUCUGAUGGAGCAACGCCGCCGUGAGUGAAGAAGGAUUUCGGUUCGUAAAACUCUGUUGCAAGGGAAGAACAAGUAGCGUAGUAACUCGGCGCCCUACCUUGACGGUACCUUGUUAGAAAGCCACGGCUAACUACGUGCCAGCCGCCGC
rnacentral:rRNA from 1 species